rnacentral:rRNA from 1 species
AUUGAACGCUGGCGGCAGGCCUAACACAUGCAAGUCGAACGAGUGGCGGACGGGUGAGUAAUGUCUGUGAAACUGCCUGAUGGAGGGGGAUACCUACUGGAAACGGUAGCUAAUACCGCAUACCAUCUGAUGUGCCCAGAUGUGAUUAGCUGGUAGGUGGGGUAACGGCUCACCUAGGCGACGAUCCCUAGCUGGUCUGAGAGGAUGACGAGCCACACAGGACUUGAGACACGGUCCAAACUCGUACGGAGGGCGGAAGUGGGGAAUAUCGCCAAUUGGGCGAAGGCCUGCUGAAGCACGGCCGCGUAUAUGAGGAAGGCCUUCGGGUUGAAAAGUACUUUCAGCGGGGAGGCGUUAACCGACGAAGAAGCACCGGCUAACUCCGUGCCAGCAGCCGCGGUAAUUC